rnacentral:lncRNA from 1 species
UGGGCGUCCCAUGUGGGUGAGGGAUUGAGUGCAAUGUGAUUGUCAUAUGUGAUGGCAAUACUAUCUCAUGUAGAAGUCCUUUCAUGAGUAUUGGACUGAUUCAAAGUAUGUUUGAGUAAGAAAUCUUAUACUUAUUGGGUUAUAAAAUUUAUCUAUAAAUAGAGAGGAUCUCUACCUAUGGAUGCAUAGCAAAUAAAUCAGAUU